rnacentral:rRNA from 1 species
GACAGAGGGUGCAAACGUUGCUCGGAAUUACUGGGCGUAAAGCGCGUGUAGGCGGACUGGUGUGUCGGAUGUGAAAUCCCCAGGCUCAACCUGGGAACUGCAUUCGAAACUGCCAGCCUUGAGUGGUGGAGAGGGAAGUGGAAUUCCUGGUGUAGAGGUGAAAUUCGUAGAUAUCAGGAGGAACACCGAUGGCGAAGGCAGGUCUCUGGGCAUUAACUGACGCUGAGGAGCGAAAGCGUGGGGAGCGAACAGG